GCAAUAAGAGUAUGAGAGAAGUAUGUCUGUCUUCCAAACAGAAGGUCCAACAUUUGGUUAUUGUU
rnacentral:tRNA from 1 species